AGUGAACGCUGGCGGUGGGCCUAACACAUGCAAGUCGAAUGGCAGCACAGUAAGAGCUUGCUCUUACGGGUGGCGAGUGGCGGACGGGUGAGGAAUACAUCGGAAUCUACUUUUUCGUGGGGGAUAACGUAGGGAAACUUACGCUAAUACCGCAUACGACCUACGGGUGAAAGCAGGGGAUCUUCGGACCUUGCGCGAUUGAAUGAGCCGAUGUCGGAUUAGCUAGUUGGCGGGGUAAAGGCCCACCAAGGCGACGAUCCGUAGCUGGUCUGAGAGGAUGAUCAGCCACACUGGAACUGAGACACGGUCCAGACUCCUACGGGAGGCAGCAGUGGGGAAUAUUGGACAAUGGGCGCAAGCCUGAUCCAGCCAUACCGCGUGGGUGAAGAAGGCCUUCGGGUUGUAAAGCCCUUUUGUUGGGAAAGAAAAGCAGCAGGUUAAUACCCCGCUGUUCUGACGGUACCCAAAGAAUAAGCACCGGCUAACUUCGUG
rnacentral:rRNA from 1 species